AGAGUUUGAUCAUGGCUCAGGAUGAACGCUGGCGGUCUGCUUAACACAUGCAAGUCGAACGCACCUUUCGGGGUGAGUGGCGGACGGGUGAGUAACGCGUGAGAAUCUGCCUUUUGGUCGGGGACAACCACUGGAAACGGUGGCUAAUACCGGAUGUGCCUACGGGUAAAAGAUUUAUUGCCAGAAGAAGAGCUCGCGUCUGAUUAGCUAGUUGGUAGGGUAAAAGCCUACCAAGGCAUCGAUCAGUAGCUGGUCUGAGAGGAUGACCAGCCACACUGGGACUGAGACACGGCCCAGACUCCUACGGGAGGCAGCAGUGGGGAAUUUUCCGCAAUGGGCGAAAGCCUGACGGAGCAAGACCGCGUGAGGGAGGAAGGCUCUUGGGUUGUAAACCUCUUUUGUCAGGGAAGAACACAAUGACGGUACCUGAAGAAUCAGCAUCGGCUAACUCCGUGCCAGCAGCCGCGGUAAUACGGGGGAUGCAAGCGUUAUCCGGAAUUAUUGGGCGUAAAGCGUCCGCAGGUGGCUAAUCAAGUCUGCUGUCAAAGGUUGGGGCUUAACCCCAAAAAGGCAGUGGAAACUGAGAAGCUAGAGUGCAGUAGGGGUAGAGGGAAUUCCCGGUGUAGCGGUGAAAUGCGUAGAGAUCGGGAAGAACAUCGGUGGCGAAAGCGCUCUACUGGACUGCAACUGACACUCAGGGACGAAAGCUAGGGGAGCGAAUGGGAUUAGAUACCCCAGUAGUCC
rnacentral:rRNA from 1 species